rnacentral:rRNA from 1 species
GUGCCAGCCGCCGCGGUAAUUCCAGCUCCAAUAGCGUAUAUUAAAGUUGUUGUGGUUAAAAAGCUCGUAGUUGAACCUUGGGCCUGGCUGGCCGGUCCGCCUCACCGCGUGCACUGGUCCGGCCGGGCCUUUCCCUCUGUGGAACCCCAUACCCUUCACUGGGCGUGGCGGGGAAACAGGACAUUUACUUUGAAAAAAUUAGAGUGCUCCAGGCAGGCCUAUGCUCGAAUACAUUAGCAUGGAAUAAUAAAAUAGGACGCGCGGUUCUAUUUUGUUGGUUUAUAGGACCGCCGUAAUGAUUAAUAGGGACAGUCGGGGGCAUCAGUAUUCAACUGUCAGAGGUGAAAUUCUUGGAUCAGUUGAAGACUAACUACUGCGAAAGCAUUUGCCAAGGAUGUUUUCAUUAAUCAGGAACGAAAGUUAGGGGAUCGAAGACGAUCAGAUACCGUCGUAGUCUUAACCAUAAACUAUGCCGACUAGGGAUCGGACGGUGUUAUUCAUGACCCGUUCGGCACCUUACGAGAAAUCAAAGUGCUUGGGCUCCAGGGGGAGUAUGGUCGCAAGGCUGAAACUUAAAGAGAUUGACGGAAGGGCACCACCAGGGGUGGAGCCUGCGGCUUAAUUUGACUCAACACGGGGAAACUCACCAGGUCCAGACACAAUAAGGAUUGACAGAUUGAGAGCUCUUUCUUGAUUUUGUGGGUGGUGGUGCAUGGCCGUUCUUAGUUGGUGGGGGUGACUUUGUCUGCUUAAUUGCGAUAACGAACGAGACCUUAAACCUGCUAAAUAGCCCGCAUGCUCCGGCAGUGCGCUGGCUUCUUAGAGGGACUUUCGGCUCAAGCCGAAGGAAGUUGAGGCAAUAACAGUCCU